AACGAACGCUGGCGGCAUGCCUAACACAUGCAAGUCGAACGAGACCUUCGGGUCUAGUGGCGCGCGGGUGCGUAACGCGUGGGAAUCUGCCCUUGGGUUCGGAAUAACAGUUGGAAACGACUGCUAAUACCGGAUGAUGACGUAAGUCCAAAGAUUUAUCGCCCAAGGAUGAGCCCGCGUAGGAUUAGCUAGUUGGUGAGGUAAAGGCUCACCAAGGCGACGAUCCUUAGCUGGUCUGAGAGGAUGAUCAGCCACACUGGGACUGAGACACGGCCCAGACUCCUACGGGAGGCAGCAGUGGGGAAUAUUGGACAAUGGGCGAAAGCCUGAUCCAGCAAUGCCGCGUGAGUGAUGAAGGCCUUAGGGUUGUAAAGCUCUUUUACCCGGGAUGAUAAUGACAGUACCGGGAGAAUAAGCUCCGGCUAACUCCGUG
rnacentral:rRNA from 1 species